rnacentral:lncRNA from 1 species
GCGCUUACCGCAAGGUUCCGCCCCUCGGCGGGCGCAGACAAUGGGGUCGCUGUGCCCGGCCGCCCCCUCCCCUCGCUCGGCGGCCCGCGCCCGCCCCCUCUCCCCAAAGCUGCUUUCAAUUUAAACGCCUCCAACCAGCGGGCGCUGCCCCGGGGGGCGCGACCGCAGCGCCGAGCGCCCCUGUAAUUUCCGCGGGGAGCUGACCGGCUCAAACACGGCCCCGCGGUGCCCCGACCGCAGGCCCCGAGACCGGAGACGGCGCCCAGACAGCCUUGCCCGGGUCGUGGGAGCGCCGCUGGGGCGGCCUCCUCGCGCGGCGCCCCGCCGCCUCCUCCAGGCAGCCCACCGCCACCCCGGGGAGCCGCUCCUCCGGGAAGCCUGCGUGCCUUCCCCAAAGUGAUGCUCCCUUGGGGCCCCUCACACCUCUGCAAGCUCAGCCCCCUUUGGGGGAGCGGGGAGGAGACGACGGGGUCAGGAGUGUCCGUUCUCUUAAUGUGCACUGUGUCUCCCGCAUCAGACUGGAGGCGACCUGAGGGCAGGGGUUCUUUCUUUGCAGACUGGGGGAACGUGAGUGAACUGACCUAUAGUUCCUGCUUGGCCUGCUGAGAAACUGGGAAGAAGGCCCUGCCUGAAUGGUCUCAGAGGAGUGGGUGGGUGUGGACACAGUGAAUUUGCCUGCAGAUCCCCUGGCUGUACCCAGGCGGGGCCAAAAGGGUAGCUGCACGCGAGGAAGAAUUUUCCGAGUGCUGGUUAAGAGGCUCCAAGGACUUGUCCAGGUUGGGCCCUGAGUGGUGCCGGUGAACAUACGUGCCAAGGCUCCCUUCUGGCCUAAAGCACUUCCUCUGUGCCCUGCUGCUUUCUGCCUAGAAGUUGUGCCCACCUACCCUCCCUCCCCAGAACUUUGGAGGGGACGUGUUUUGCUAGUACAUGAGGGCCAGGGCCCGUGCUGGCACAGGAAGUAGACCGGUCCCUGCCCUCAUGGAGCAGCUCCUGGGACUCAGGUCAGUGUGGAUGGACAUUGCAGGGGGAACGACAGAGGUCCCCUCUGGGAUCACAAACCACUCCAGGGAGGCCCUCCCUUGCCACCGGAUGCAAAGGAUCCAGGGGGGCUUGGAAGCCUGUGAGGGGUGUCCUGACUUCUGCACUCCUUACCUGGCAUGGUGUCCGGUCCCACCUCCCACCCGGCCGACCCUGCUCUGUCUCCCUGUCCUGCCCUCCUGCCCUCCUCCUGUGGCUGUUUCCUCCAUCCACGUCGUUCUCCCCGCUUCUUUGCCUGGGGUCCCUCAGCAGCGCAGAGACCCUCGGUCUGCACCCCUCAGUCACCUCCCUAGGGUUCAAGGUCCCAAGCCAAGAGAAGCCUCAGAGACUGCGGACAUCAACUCCUCCUCCCGAAUGUGGGGUGGGGGCGGGGAAGCCAGCAGUGGGGCUCUGAACUGGACCCUAGUCUUUGACUUCCGGCCCAGCACUCUUUCUGGGGACCCCUCCUUGACCUGCACCUGAAGGCAGCGUAGGUCCAUUCCUUCCUCUAUCCUUUCACGGUGCCCAGAGGACAGAGGAGCGAACGGGGUCUCCGCCAUCGUGUCCUCCUGCCCUGCCCCAGUAGCCUGGGCCCAGAGACUGGGCAGUGGGGUGGGAGGGCUCGGAGAAGGGCUCGGUUGAGGGUCUCUAAUUUGCUCCUGCCCCUUGAUGUCCAGAGGAACACAAGCCGCCUGUGCCCAAGAGAUUUCCAAGCAUAAACGGAGGUCAAUGCCCCCCUCGCCUGCCCCGGAGGUGCCAAGGUGGUAAUUAGGCUUGGGGGUGGGUCCUGGAAGGGUGGGGGUGGCGUGGCCAUUAUCCCCAGGAGCUGAGCUGGGCAGGAGCUGUGUGGUCCAGGCAAAUGGGUGGUUUGUAGGUGGUCUGGAGAAUGAAUGAGUGAGUGUUUGGGAGGGAGGCCGGUGGGGAGGGAGCGGGGCGGGGUGGGGGUAGGGUGUGGGGAGGCAGCAGACAGAUUGGAGAGCAAAGCUGGGUAGUCGAGCCCUGGACUCACUGGUCUGGGCCCCUGCCCAUGCUCUGAGGCAUCAGCAAAGAGAGGACCGUGAGGCAGAUGGUGGGUCCCAGGGAAGCUUGCCCCUGGGCUGCUUCAGGAGGGGUGAGGGGAGAUGGGUGGAGGCCAUUCAGUGCAGCGUCCUUGGCAUGCGGUGGGGCGCUGGCCUGUGGCCCCUCCGUCCCCAUUCCCAGCCCAUGCCUAAUCCCUCUCCCCGUAGGGAAAAAUUCCUUGUUGGGCUGAGAAGGUCCUUCGAUUGGACCCCUGUCCCCGUCUCAACCUCAUGGGGGCUCUAGGUCCCCAAGAAGAUCUCUCUCUCUGACCCCCAGGAUCCUCUCACCCGCUCCUUCUCCAUAUCCGGCUGCACAAGGUAGACUGUAUCAGUUGACCUCAUCGCCCUGAGCCUUGGUUUCCUUACCUGUAAAAUGCGAGUAAUACAGCAUUUAACUGUGCAGAUGAAAUAAGCCAGUCCAAGGCCAGUGUUCCUAAAAUGGCAGUCUCAGCAAUGACUAAUGGCCCACAAGAUGCCCCGCUUGUCAGGAGGCCAGGGCUCCUCCCGGGAAGGGGUACCUAAAACCCAGGACUUGGCCGUGACCCCCGGUAUGGGGACCAGGACCCAGGCGGGCCGGCAGUGGUGUGAGCAGGUCACGGGGAAGGGGUGGGGUUGAUGGGACUGUCGGGUGGCAUCCUGCCUGGCCCCAGGCACAUUCCUCCUCCCCCGCUGCUCUCCCCACCUGCUGGCUGCCACCUGAACAGCUCACCUGGCCUCUGGAGCAAGAGAGAGUGCAGUGAGACGACCAUACAGGGCUCCUCCGAGGAGAGGAAUGAACUGAGGGCACGGGUGUGACCGGGACCGCCUGCUGAGGCUCCCUAGCUGCUGCCCUACAUGGAGGGGCUAAGCAUCUAAGUCCCGGUUUCAAUCCCAACACCCGGGGAGUAUCCUUCCCACAGGGGCUAGGCCAGACUGGGGGGGGGGGGGGCUCCCAGAGGCAGGAGUUGGGCUCUUACCAUCAGGUGGGAGGAUUCGUGAAGGGAGAGCUUAUCCUAACCUGGGCCCAAGGGGGCUAGGCUGGGGUUGGAUGGGUCAGCCUGGCACCUUCACGGGGUCAGCAGUCUCACCCCACUCCUUGCUCAGACCCCAAAUUCUCUACUAAUGGGAAAGUCCCCGGGGGAGCUGGAGAGCUUUGGAAAACCUGGGGAACGGCCCGCUGCCCUGUGAUCUGGAAACCGGUGAGGUAGGGGAGGGCCGUGUGUGUGCGCGCGCGCGCGCGCAGGCAGUCUCUGGAUCAGGGUCAUUCCCAAAUCAAUCUCCCUCCUCCUUUCCCUCCUUAAAUCCACGCAGGCUAACCCCUUCUCUCCCUCUGUUCUCUGCGCCGCCCCCCCCCCCCCCGCCCAGAAUCCUUGGCAUUUAUUGGUAGGGGUGCCACCAAGGGAGAAAGACGGCAACCUUCCUCCCUCUGACCUGCGGUCAGGCCAACCGAGCAGCCUGCAGGGGGCAGGCUGGGGUGGUUGGGACCAUGUGGCAGGGGGUGGGAUGCCGAUGACAUUCACAGCUUCCAGACACCGGCACCCAGUCUCCUAUCAGGACCUCUCCACUCUAUCCAAAUAUGGAUCGCUGGAGGGGUGGGGGGGACGUUUGAGAGAUCAGGGAGGAGGAGAGCUGAGCCAAAUGGAUUCUGGAAGGAUUCUGAGGCACUUCGGAAGUAUCUGUUGGGAGUCAUUCAGCCUGAGAGCGGACAGAGCCUGGGCAGAGGGACAAGCAGAAGACCAUCUCGCCCACCCCUGGCUUCCUCGCCAAACCUCACUAAUACCUCUCGGAGAAGGUCUCCUGAUUUAAGGUCUACGUCCACGAGUAUUCAAUGCAGCGGGCUCCACAUCCCCACCACAAAAAUAAAAACACUUCUGGGGGCGCCUAGGUGGCUCA